rnacentral:rRNA from 1 species
CAGUCGCCGCGGGAAUACGUAGGGUGCGAGCGUUAAUCGGAAUUACUGGGCGUAAAGCGUGCGCAGGCGGUUUUGUAAGACAGGCGUGAAAUCCCCGGGCUCAACCUGGGAAUGGCGCUUGUGACUGCAAAGCUAGAGUGCGGCAGAGGGGGAUGGAAUUCCGCGUGUAGCAGUGAAAUGCGUAGAUAUGCGGAGGAACACCGAUGGCGAAGGCAAUCCCCUGGGCCUGCACUGACGCUCACGCACGAAAGCGUGGGGAGUAAACAGGAUUAGAUACCCCUGUAGUCCCUGUCUCUUAUAC